CGUCCCAGGGGUGCCAGGCAGGGCUGUGGGGUCUUGGCUGGGUCCCCCAGGGUCAGCCGGCUGUCGGUGCCCACCCUUCCUGCCUCUGCGUCCCCAGGAGAGGAUGGAGCCCAGCAGCCACCCGAAGCUGCCGUCCACGGCUCAGCGCCCAGGUCGGAAUUCCUUCUAGAACCCUCUACACAAGGACCACAGAACCAAAUGUGUUACUUCUGUUUUUAUUGCCUCUGCUCUAAAGCAGGCUUUGGAUAGUCUAAAUGCUUCAGAAGAAGUUGCUACUUCUGGAUGACAUUGACCUUGGGGUGCAUCGUGAAAGGCUUAAGAAAACAAACUUCUUUUCUCAGAUCAGUUGACUACUCGUAAUCUUACUAAAUUACCAAGUUGCCUAAACUGGGCUUCAAUGUGCGGUCCUCCUGCCUCAGCCUCCCGGAGUGCAGCCCAACCCCCAGCAGUACCGCCCUGUCGGGGUCGCUGCAGCUCUGUGGUGAGUGUUAAAGUUGGAAGUGACCAUCCCCCAGCUUUGUUCUUCAGUACUGGGCUGGCUAUUUUGGCUCUUGGGCCUCCACGUAGACGUCAGAUUCAUGUGCUGGCACCCACAAGAACCCCUGCUGGAAUUACGCGUGGUGUCGUGUUGCGUCUCUAGACCAAGACGGGAAAGGCAGCCAUCUGGCCAUUCUAGAGCCUUCCCGUGCAGUGACAUGGUUCCUCUUCUGGUUACUUAGCCCUCCUCUGGUUCAUUUCUUCAGAAUGACGUAGCUUUGUCAUAGAAACCUUGUCCAUAUUUUGUUAGAGUCAUACCUGAGGAUUUCAUUUUGGGCGUGCUAAGGUAACUGGUACUGCAUUUUUAUUUCAAAUUGUACUUCUCCACUGCUGGUAUAUAGGAAAGCAAGGACUUCCUUGUGUUGAUCUUGGAUCCUGCAGCCUUGCCGCGAUCACUUACAAUGUCACUAUCAUAGGAGACAGGGCAGGAGCGGACAGUGUUACGGGACAGCCAGGGAAGCCUGCUGCAUAAUCUGGAAGAGUAGUGACUCUCUUGGCUGUAACCAUGUUCUGGGUGCGUAGGCAGCUGCUUUUGUUCUUAGCAGACAGACUCUCAAGUCUUCAGGGAUAAAGUCUGCAAGUGACUCUCAAGAGGUUGAGGGAAAAAAUGUGUAUAAGUGUGUGUGUGUUUGGGGGGGGUGUCCACACAUGUAUGUGUGUGUAAAUGAGAGGGAAGAAGAAAGGGAAUAUGACAAGAUAUUAACUGCUGUGUUUGUUGUCUAGGUAAAGAGUAUGUGGUGCUCAUCGUAUUUUUCUUGACGCUUUUAAAAAAUUACAAAUGAUCUAAAAAGCCCGAGUGUUUCUUUCUUGCAGGUUUUGUGAAGGUGUGAAAUUUUAAGUUUUAAUUUAACAUUUAAAAAUAAAAGGCCACUUACCCUGUCUUGUUGCCGUAGGUAAAAUCCCUAACCCUGUUCGUCACCCAUUACCCACCGCUGUGCGAGCUGGAAAGGAGCUACCCGGGCCAGGUGGGGAAUUACCACAUGGGCUUCCUGGUGACCAAGGACGAAGGCCAGGCAGGUCCAGGUAGGCGAGGUCCUGGGCUGGCAGCGCGUGCCCGUGGUUGCCGGGGUUGUGCGAGUAGAAGCCCACUGCUCAUGCACAGUGUGGUGCCAGCCACAGGUAACACUGUUCGCACUCAUGUUCACACUUGCUCCACCCUCGGUCAGGAGGGAUGCACCCCUCUGCCAUCACCAAGUCCUGCCUGAGCUCCUUCUCCUGUCCAUCCCAGCAGAGCUCCGCUGGCCCCCUUUCUUUGUAAUAAGAAGCAGUGAUUUCCAAGCUAUAUACAAUAAAUUGCCCCCAAAAUACAGCACCCGAAACAAAGACCAUCUGUCACUAUUUCUGGGGGUCUGGAGUCAGGGGCAACUCGGCUGAGCCCCUGGGCAUCUCCCAAGGCUACAGUCAGGGUGCAGGGCAGGGGAGUGGGGCUGCCAGGCCCACCCACGCAGCACCUCCCCACCUGGCUGUGACCAGACCCCGGUGCCCACAGGGCCUCUUUUGAGAAUGGCCUGUGGCACAUGGCUGGCAAGGAAGGAAAAGGACCAGACAGAGAGCGCCAUGGUCUCCCCACACUGACCUCUCAUCCCCGUGUCACGUUCUGUUCCACGAGAAGGGAGUCCCUAGGCCCUCCCCACACUCAGAGGGCCGGAGGACCCCAGCCAGGCCCGUGGUGGCUGUCUCCAAGGCUGCCUGUCCUCCCCAUGGCAGCAGUCAUUGCGGUCCCUCAGGAAGGGGCCUGCCAGCUGCAGCGAGCCCCACAGAGGCCACACAGCCUGUUGAGCCCUUCACUGGGCGCAGUACCUGACACUGAAGCCCAGAGGAGAUGUGUGACUGGGUCCAUGGUUCAGGGGCCUCGGACCAUGCUGGGGCGGUUGGUUCUAAGGCAAGAACAAGGCAGAAGGCAGGGGGGAGCAAAGCCACUCACUUCCUGGGGGCCAGGACGGGGAGAGGGACCGGGUGGGAGACAGACCCUCCAGAGGGGGCUCAGUGACCACCUCUCCCCACCAGAGCCCCUCACAUUCAGCUGUGCAUCAGUGAUAGAUAACCCACUGAGCCGGGCAGCUUCCAGAGCCCCGCCUCUGAACACAUGAGGUGUCCUGGGGACAUUCUGCAUCCGACCAACAGCUCCACCCUUCUGACAGCUGGGGUGGGGAACAGAACAGCAACCCCUUCAGCAUGUAGAGCUCCUAGCCAGAACACUUCAUCACCCCCAAUGUUUUGUCUUUUUAUUUAAACUGUGUGCAACAUGUAACAUUUCCUUCUCUAUUUUAACAGGAAAAAUAAAUGCCAUUGUACCAUGUAUCAGAACCAUUCUGCUUUUGAUACAGAAGUUCAGUUCAAAUUGUGCAAUGAAUCAUUGUUAAAAACUGUCUUAAGUGAGCUAGAGGCCCUAAAUGCAAACGCAUUUUCAAAUCAGUAUUUGCCCUUUAUCUUGAUAUGCAAACCUGAACUGGCAGGUGGCAGGAACAAUAGGCUUCUUUCUCAGAGUGUAAAUUUUAAUAGAGUAAAAUUUUAAGAACGUUCAUGUCCUCUUUAGUCCUUGUAUUUCAGUUUUUGAUAUCCUUUCCCUUUUGUUCUGUCUUUCACAGGCAAAGAGGAAGUCCCUGAUUUUGUGACUUUUCUUUAUCAAAUAACCAGAGGAGUUGCAGCAAGGAGUUACGGCCUAAACGUGGCUAAGCUAGCAGAUGUUCCUGGAGAAGUCCUGAAGAAAGCAGCUCACAAGUCCAAGGAGCUGGAAGGGUUAAUAAACAUGAAAAGGAAAAGGCUGAAGUCUUUUUGAAAUUGUGGACAACACAUAGUACGGAAGACCUUCGAGAGUGGAUGGACGAGUUUGAAGUAGAAGAAACACAGACUUCUCUUCCUGAUGAGCCUGUGGACCGCUCUUUGGAAGAAACAGCGGAGAGUUAGAAACACCCACCACCGUCUAAAACAGGUGCCCAGCAGCGCCCAUCUGGCACAGGAGAGCACCGCAUCCCGGCCGCAGCGGUCCGUUUGGGAGAUGGAUUUCUUCCUUUUGUGAAGGAAACGAUGCUCAGGUUCCUUCCCCUCCGCCUUUUCAGAUAGCAAGGCUCCCUCUGUGACCGGAAAUCUCCUGGAUGGGGCUCCACAAGGUGACACCUCUUCGGUUAGUGCCUGUUCUGUUUGCACGAGAUAAUGUUAAAAGCCACCAAUUCUUCAUGUGCAGAAUAAUUUUUGAUAAAAAUAGAAUUAUGAAGCUCUUAGAAACUAGAGCCCAGUGCCCUGGAAGAAUAAAGUCAUAUGAAAUUUGCAGAGUUAGACGUGGUCGUAGUUUUAAGCAGUUUAAAUAAUGUUGAAUGGUGUGAUCUGUCCCUCUGUGGAGUAAUACUUAAUGCACACUUGCUUCAGACUUCUGUGCGUCCUGCUGAGUGCUGGUGUUCCCGAAGGCCAGGCAGUUGUUUUGCAGGUUGGUCCUGGAACCCAGGUCGCUGCCCCACAGAGUGGUGCGCAGGUCCUCCUGCCCUCUGCAGCCCACGGCCCCUGCGCGGUGCCCCCCUCCUGGUGAGGCUGGGGACGCAGCCGUGUCUCCGAGAUGUGCAUGGCCCCUCUGCCUGCUCCGGUCUGCUGUCCUCCGUUCGUGCUCCUGCUCAGUUAGAUCCCACCCCACGUGGGAUGCGUGGUCUCCAGCGCCUUCUCCAAGAAGCUGCCUGCAGUGGCCCCCCAGGUCCGGAGCAGCGUGGUGCACCCACGCGAGGAAGUCGUUCUCACUUGGCUGCCCAGCCCAGGCCCAGCAUCACUCCCCCGCGGCAGGCAGGGCCGGGCCAAGGACGCAGUCACCUGGAGGCCAGCCUGCCCGACGCGCAGGGCCGCCAGGGCCUCCAGAGGGCGGGGACCCUGGAGCUGCGCCCCUGUAGGGACGCUCAGGGCCCUGCGGUGUG
rnacentral:lncRNA from 1 species